AUAAUUUCUCUUCUUAAUAAAGCAAGAUUUCUUAAGACUUGCCAGGUGGCAGUUCUCCCCUUUACUUCAUAAAAAUUUCCGUCACGACCAAAUAUUAAAAAAGAAAAAAAAAAAAAAAUUCAAAUAGGAUGAAUUCAAAAAGAAACCAUGAUCAAAUCUGUGUUCUUAGUAUAUGGAAUAAGCCGCCGCACCACCGAAUUCUAUCUUGAUUAUAAUGAUGGAUCUUAGCUAGAGAAUAUAAAUCAAAGGUGAAUUGUGACGCUUAAAUCGUGGUCUAUAUAUGG